UGGUUGUGGUCUGGGCAUUUCCUGGUGGUCCCCAAUCCCCAACUGCUCCACAGAAAUGAGGCCAAAUCUUACGAAAUGCAAAGCUGAUGCCAGUUAAAAUGGAACCUUCGUUGGGGGAAAUCACCAAAUAAAACAGAAUAAAACAGCUGGACAAUAAACAGCCUACGAACAACAUUCUCGCGUGCACCAGCAUCUGGCAAUGUAUCAAAUGAACAUUAAGAAUGGCUCAAAGGGGUGAUUUUACUGGAUA